rnacentral:rRNA from 1 species
ACGAUGAAGAGUUUGAUCCUGGCUCAGGAUGAACGCUAGCGGCAGGCUUAACACAUGCAAGUCGAGGGGUAACAGAGAUAGCUUGCUAUUUGCUGACGACCGGCGCACGGGUGCGUAACGCGUAUACAAUCUACCUUUUGCUGAAGGAUAGCCCAGAGAAAUUUGGAUUAAUACUUCAUAGUAUGUUAGUAUGGCCUCAUACAAACAUUAAAGGUUACGGCAAAAGAUGAGUAUGCGUUCUAUUAGCUAGAUGGUAUGGUAACGGCAUACCAUGGCGACGAUAGAUAGGGGCCCUGAGAGGGGGAUCCCCCACACUGGUACUGAGACACGGACCAGACUCCUACGGGAGGCAGCAGUGAGGAAUAUUGGGCAAUGGAGGCAACUCUGACCCAGCCAUGCCGCGUGCAGGAAGACUGCCCUAUGGGUUGUAAACUGCUUUUAUACAGGAAGAAACACCUCUACGUGUAGAGGCUUGACGGUACUGUAAGAAUAAGGAUCGGCUAACUCCGUGCCAGCAGCCGCGGUAAUACGGAGGAUCCAAGCGUUAUCCGGAAUCAUUGGGUUUAAAGGGUCCGUAGGUGGAUAAUUAAGUCAGAGGUGAAAUCCUGCAGCUCAACUGUAGAAUUGCCUUUGAUACUGGUUAUCUUGAGUUAUUAUGAAGUAGUUAGAAUAUGUAGUGUAGCGGUGAAAUGCAUAGAUAUUACAUAGAAUACCAAUUGCGAAGGCAGAUUACUAAUAAUAUACUGACACUGAUGGACGAAAGCGUGGGUAGCGAACAGGAUUAGAUACCCUGGUAGUCCACGCCGUAAACGAUGGUCACUAGCUGUUUGGACUUCGGUCUGAGUGGCUAAGCGAAAGUGAUAAGUGACCCACCUGGGGAGUACGUUCGCAAGAAUGAAACUCAAAGGAAUUGACGGGGGCCCGCACAAGCGGUGGAGCAUGUGGUUUAAUUCGAUGAUACGCGAGGAACCUUACCAGGGCUUAAAUGUAAGUUGCAUAGAGUAGAGAUAUUCUUUUCUUCGGACUACUUACAAGGUGCUGCAUGGUUGUCGUCAGCUCGUGCCGUGAGGUGUCAGGUUAAGUCCUAUAACGAGCGCAACCCCUGUUGUUAGUUGCCAGCGAGUCAAGUCGGGAACUCUAACAAGACUGCCAGUGCAAACUGUGAGGAAGGUGGGGAUGACGUCAAAUCAUCACGGCCCUUACGUCCUGGGCUACACACGUGCUACAAUGGUAGGUACAGAGAGCAGCCACUACGCGAGUAGGAGCGAAUCUAUAAAACCUAUCACAGUUCGGAUCGGAGUCUGCAACUCGACUCCGUGAAGCUGGAAUCGCUAGUAAUCGGAUAUCAGCCAUGAUCCGGUGAAUACGUUCCCGGGCCUUGUACACACCGCCCGUCAAGCCAUGGAAGCUGGGAGUGCCUGAAGUCCGUCACCGCAAGGAGCGGCCUAGGGUAAAAUCGGUAACUAGGGCUAAGUCGUAACAAGGUAGCCGUACCGGAAGGUGCGGCUGGAACACCUCCUUUCU